AGGUUCUAAAGAAGGGAGAUGAUGUCUGUGUAAUAACCUUGACUGAGAAUAAGACUGAGGGAGGCGAGAGUAGGAUGGAAGAUUCUUACUGGGAGUGAGAGAAGAAAGAAGAGA